GGUCUCGUGGCCCAAUGGCAAGGCGUCUGACUACGACGAUUCAAGAGCAUCACGAGCUUGAAUUGCAUCCAUGUAAUCAGGAGAUUCUGGGUUCGAUCCCCAGCGAGAUCA